rnacentral:sRNA from 1 species
CCACUUAGCUCUUGUCUGAGUCAGAUGGAGGGGAAACAGUCCCAAAAUUGGUUUGAGGUUUCCUAGGAGUGGGGUGCAAAGGGAAGACAGAGAUCAGAUGUGGAGCAGCUAGCCUGGGCAUGAGCCAGGGUGGGACCUUGAAUAAGAAAAGAGAAGCACUUGUCCUCAUGACUGCCAUCCCUUGCCUGGAGCUUCAAGAGAGGAAGCAGGGCGAGCUCUCAACAGAUACAACAAAAAGAUAAAAGUGCUGGCAGCUGCCGGAGCCAUCCAUCCCUGCACCAGCAAGUGAUACAUUGUAGCGUUUGGGCCAGGAGAACACACAGCCCAGCUUUUGCCAAGGCUGACAAUCCUGGGGUCCUGGGGGAAGGACAAGGCAUCCUUGCAGGAGAAACGUGAUGGUCAGCAAGACCUCACGAGACACCGGCUUCUCCAGGAAGCAAGCUCUGUCUGCCUUUCCCCAGCCUGCCACUGCAGUGGCCUGGUUUGGGGCCAAGAGUUUGGAAGCCUCUGGUGAGCCAGCAGUUCCCAAGUGGCCGCAGGUCACAGCAGGGGAACAGAUCUAACUCUCAAGGCUCCCAGCGUUCCUCUUGUAAUGGAAAUAAAGAAUGGGAAAGCAGGUGCUUCCAGAACUGUCGAGAAUUUGCUGGUGGGUAGAGAGGAGCCGUCUUUUUUCCCCCUCUGGGAGAAAGCGCUGAGGGCCACCUGUCACUUGUCACCUUUGCCUCAGCUCUGAACACGAAGCUCCAGGAUUCCAAAGGAUCUUCCACCCUCCCUCCUCUUCAUCUCCAUCUCCAGCAGCAGUCUGCAACUUGCCAGCCACCCCAACGGUCCAGCAGCUGAGCAGGAGAGAGAGGUAACUCCCGGGCAUGGGUGUGCUGUAGCUGGGUGACGCGCCUGCUUAGGUAGUAGUUGCCUCUUUCGGUUUUCAAAAAAGCCUUCUCCCCUGAGGAGCCGGAGUCCUCUCUCUCCCUGCACUUUGCAGAAACUCUGAUCUCAAUGAACUCCAUCCAGGCUCCUUCCUGCAUGGCUUGCCAGCCUAGCAGCAUAGCAAAAGCUGAGUCAGUUGCUCGCGGGAGUCAAUUUAAAAAUAAUUUAAAAUGCUAUUUUCAAUUCUUUGGGGUGAAAAAGCGGGGGGGGGUGUUCUUUCUCGUGUGGGUUUCACGUGUGCAUCUUGUGUUUUAAUUAGCUGUAGAAAAUUUAAGUUUGUGGAGGAAAUCAUGAUGGGGAUUUAUGAUUUAAAAAAAAAAAAAAACACCAAAAACCCCAAACUACUCCAUUGCGGUCUUCGCUGCAGUCCCAGCGAGCAACCUGGUUUAACUGCGGAGGCUCUCGGUACAGUCUCCUCUCUCUUUACCCUUGCCAGAGAGUCUGGGCGUCUGCUCCCCACCUGCAGGGCUGCUCCAAGCUUCCCCUCCACAGCCUCGUCUCCUUGCCCACCCAUCCUCUGCAGAGGACCCGGUAAGUAAGCUGAUGUCGGGGACAGCUGGGGUUUGAAGGAGAAUUUGGACACUGCAGCUUUAAGAAUGCCAAUGCCGUACUGCGAAAUCUUUCUCCUUCAAGUGACUGCAGAACCUCAGCAGUGGCUGCAGUGGGAGGAGGUGGCUGGAGGUGGGGUGGAGGGAGAAGAGGGGUGCCCACUCCCGGGUGGGUCAGCUCGUCGGGUACCUUGUCCUGGGAUGCACUCGGCCCCGGGCGAACCCAAAACACAAUCGGGCCGCACUUUCUCCGCUAGUUUCUUUCUCACGCGCUGGGGGCGGGGACCCUGCGGACUUCCUGAUGAGUUUGGGCUCAGUCCUGCCCCGGUGCAUGUCAUCUGCCGCCUUGCACAUGUGGCACGCUGGCUCUUUAAGCCAUGUGCAAUGGAGCUGGGGAAGGCUGGUCUGAGCUGUGUGAUCUUCAGCAGAGCUUGCACCUGGGGAUGCAGAGUCAGCCUUCAUGGCCUUGCUACUGGGCACGGCCCGGGGUGCAGCUUUUAUUUUUUCCUGGAUUUACUGAGAGGAGCGCAGGAGGGAAACUCAAAAAGGAUGACUUGCUCUUCCUGGAGUAGAGGCUUCGGUGUGAAAGGAAGAACGAAACCCCUUUGGCUGACAAAAAGUACCGACUGGCGGGCGCUGGGAAGUGGGGGAGGGGCCCCACAGAGAGUUCCCCUAGAUGGAGUCACCCUGCACAAAAAUGAGUAGAAAUGCACUCUGGUUACGGGUUCUUUCUGAGAAAGGUCCAAGCACCCCGAAACACCCGAGCUGUGUCUCUGGUACCCAGACUUCUGUGUGCCCAGCCAGUGUGUCACCCCAAAGCUGAGGUGCCAGCUGGCAAAGUUCCAGGCUGGUACUGCUGGCGUGGCAUCCCAGACACACAGUACUUGGGUCCAGGUCUGCAUUGGGGGUGAUGUCACAAAGUGCCAACAUCUGUCUGGCACUGAAGGACUCGGUUCCUUGUGAUUCCUCUUUCGACCGGGGGG